UGGGGAAUUUUCCGCAAUGGGCGAAAGCCUGACGGAGCAAGACCGCGUGGGGGAGGAAGGCCCUUGGGUUGUAAACCUCUUUUCUCAGGGAAGAAGAAAGUGACGGUACCUGAGGAAUCAGCCUCGGCUAACUACGUGCCAGCAGCCGCGGUAAUACGGAGGGAGCUAGCGUUGUUCGGAAUUACUGGGCGUAAAGCGCGCGUAGGCGGCCAUUCAAGUCAGGGGUGAAAUCCCGGGGCUCAACCCCGGAACUGCCCUUGAAGCUAGGUGGCUAGAAUACUGGAGAGGUGAGUGGAAUUCCGAGUGUAGAGGUGAAAUUCGUAGAUAUUCGGAAGAACACCAGUGGCGAAGGCGACUCACUGGACAGUUAUUGACGCUGAGGUGCGAAAGCGUGGGGAGCAAACAGGAUUAGAUACCCCCGUAGUCC
rnacentral:rRNA from 1 species